GUAGAUUAUUAUAAACCCAGUUGGUAGGUCAGGUGGUAGAUUAUUAUAAACCCAGUUGGUAGUUCGGGUGGUAGAUUAUUAUAAACCCAGUUGGUAGGUCAGGUGGUAGAUUAUUAUAAACCCAGUUGGUAGGUCAGAUGGUAGAUUAUUAUAAACCCAGUUGGUAGGUCAGGUGGUAGGUCAUGGCUGUGCUGGGUUUAGGAGUAACCCAUGUAGUCUCUGCUCUGUUAGCAACACAUGGAGUAAGAUAAUUCAACGUGCAACAAUUUCCCCAUAGAGUUUAAACUGCAAACAUUUUCAUUCUUCCUCUUUUCUUCAUCAGCGUCUUCGUCAUCGUCAUCAUCAUCUCACAUAUCGUUGCUAUCACAGAGUCAGUGAUGAAGUUUUGGUGUGUAUAUAUAUAUAUAUAUGUGGUAUGUGUAGAUAGGUAGGUAGGUAGGUAGUUCUGGUGUCUGGUCUCCUCUCCAGAGUCAAAGUAUUUUGUUUCCAUAGUGUUGAUAGGUUGAUAUCAUGUUGUAUUG